rnacentral:piRNA from 1 species
UCAAUACUCCCAAUGAAACAGACCUUCAUU